rnacentral:rRNA from 1 species
UCGGGAAUUUUGCGCAAUGGGCGAAAGCCUGACGCAGCAACGCCGCGUGAGGGAUGACGGCCUUCGGGUUGUAAACCUCUUUUAUCAGGGAAGAUAAUGACGGUACCUGAUGAAUAAGUCACGGCUAACUACGUGCCAGCAGCCGCGGUAAUACGUAGGUGACAAGCGUUGUCCGGAUUUACUGGGCGUAAAGAGCGCGCAGGCGGUCGUUCAAGUCGAGUGUGAAAGCCCCCGGCUCAACUGGGGAGGGUCACUCGAUACUGAUCGACUCGAAGGCAGGAGAGGGUAGUGGAAUUCCCGGUGUAGUGGUGAAAUGCGUAGAUAUCGGGAGGAACACCAGUGGCGAAGGCGACUACCUGGCCUGUUCUUGACGCUGAGGCGCGAAAGCUAGGGGAGCAAACGG